CACCUGUGUGGUCGUACCAAGGUUACCUAAUGGUUACACAAAAUCUUUCUGUGGUCCAAAAGCAGACUUUUUCCAAGUUGUUGCCAAGUUGUGCAAGCCACACAAAGGCGCCGUGUCUUCGCCCCUCCACUCUCACUCUCAGAUCCUGAGCUCCCAAAGUGAAAGCGGCACAGCAAUCUCUGGGCUCAUUGACUGUGGGGCCUGAGGGGCUUUGUGGUAAAAGUCUAGGCACGUAUUAGCUCUGCAGUGCUGGCUGACCCAGACUGGUCCCUGGCCACAUAACCACCGUCUCAUGCCUACUGAAAGGGCCUUUGUGUUGGAAUGUGUCGGCACGGAGCCUGGCCCCUCUGGAACAUCUUCCGUGGGAUAUGCAGAGCUGGCAGGUUGACAGGCAGAACUCGGCCAUCUGUGUGCCAAGUCAAGUGAGCGGAGGUGUGGAUGGUGCGCGUGGAUCGUGAUGAAACUGAUGCCCCUGGGACUCUCCCUGCAGGCAGAAUAAUAAAACGAGCAGCGUGUGACUGAUGUGUGUGUAUAUGCAGAGAGCAUUUACAGACAUUACACUGGGACGGGGGUGUGUUUCUGCAAUUGUGUGUUGACGCCCAGAGGGAGAAUCCUCGCUUCACUUGUCCCUCCUCCAUGUGGAGGUCAGGGAUCGAGACCGGCUUUAGAAGAUCAUCCCCACAACUGAGAAAUUCAGUGCCUUACUCACACUUCAGCAGCUUGCUUUGUAGCUUUUUAGAUUUCUCCAGUCACUAGGUUACCUUAUUUGUUUGUAGUUGUGUCAAUAAAAGUAUUGUUGCAGUUAUUGA